GAUGCGGGCCGGGCCCCUCUGAUCGUUGUGUUUGCGCAACGGUGAUGUCGGACCGCGUAA
rfam:Mesorhizobium sp. 65-26 SCNpilot_cont_1000_bf_scaffold_60, whole genome shotgun sequence.